CCUACGGGCGGCUGCAGUAGGGAAUUUUGCGCAAUGGGCGAAAGCCUGACGCAGCAACGCCGCGUGAUUGAUGAAGCCCUUCGGAGUGUAAAGAUCUGUCGGUGGGGACGAAACUUGACGGUACCCACAGAUGAAGCACCGGCUAACUCCGUGCCAGCAGCCGAGGUAAUACGGAGGUGCCAAGCUUUGUCCGGAAUCAUUGGGCGUAAAGAGUUCGUAGGUGGCAUAUUAAGUCUGGUGUUAAAUGCAGAGGCUCAACUUCAGUAGGGCAGUGGAUACUGGUAAGAUUGAUUACGGUAGAGGUAAGGGGAAUUCGUGGUGUAGCGGUGAAAUGCGUAGAUAUCAGGAGGAAGA
rnacentral:rRNA from 1 species